ensembl:lncRNA
UGAUAAUGCGUUGCAGCCCAACUUCUUCUGCCCAAUCCUGCUUCCUUCCCUUCCCUUCCAAGAGUAUUCCCUCCUCAGCUUCCUGCAUGCCAAUCUGACCCUUAAAGUUAGCUUCCAAGCUGCCAUAGCCACGGUCAGGUAACCUAGGAUGGUGAGAAAAAGGUUUUGCUCUUUUGGUUUCCAAGCAAUUAGAUGCUUCCAUGUCACCUAGUUACCUAGAGUAGUUGGCCUACGUGAAAGGAAGAGAAGUCAUCCCUCAAAAAGCAACAGGAUCCGAAGGAAACUUCUGACAGCUUUGGGGACAACAAGAAACACAGAUGUGCUACCUGCAAACCCUUGAGUUCUCCAUCUUGCUCGCUGUCUCUGAGGGCUGUGGGAAUCCAGGGGCUUAUCCAGUCCGAAGGGAAGUCCGCUGUCUUCUGACAUCAAGAGGAGAAGGAUCUGGAGACUGAUGAAUGUACUCUUGCUGUUAUUGUUGGAGCAGAAUCCUAUACAGUUCUUUGGAAAUUUGUCUGCAGGAUAAUACCAGUCCCAUAUGCAUAUACACCUCCUAAACUGCUGCCACUUGUGGGCUCCAAAUUAAAGCUGCUUUAGUUCACACUCACGUUUAUAGCUAGCAUUCCCCAAAGCAAAUUUAUUGCCAAGUAUUUGGAUUUAGAGCAACUACCAGAAUUAGUCACAGUGAAACCUACACUCACUCUUGGUAACUCAGGUUACUCAAGCUUAGAUUUUCUGCCUCCCUAAAGUGAUGCUAUUCCAGGAACCUUGUUAAACAUGCCUCUAUCAAUCUUGGUUGGAGCUCUGUAGUUCACUAAAGUAAAUCUCCCUAACACUGAAAGGAAAAACUUACUCUUGAUAGCUCUCAAGUUCUUGGAUUAUAUAUUUCUAGAGAGUAGAGACUAGCACUUGGACCAAUACCACGCCUUUUAAUAAAAGAUCUGAUGAUUAAAGUAUUUUUUACACAGAGCCUGCCAAGGCAAGCUUUUAAAUGAGGGGAUUCGUAUAUAGUAAAUGAAAGAAAGAGAAAGAAUUGUUCAUUUGCUUCCAAGUAGAACCUAGGAUUCUUGGGCAAAGUCCUCCUUCUCCUCCUUCCUUAGCAAUUUUACAUACCAGGGACCACAGGAGUCAUGGCCUUGUUCAUGCCACAAAAGGGUUCAUCAAGAGCUCAUCACACGUGAGUCUAUUUAAAAGGCUCCUAAACACGAAGCUCUGUUCAAGAUAAACUGAAAUCUUAAUCAACAGGCAUAAGAAACUCUAUUUUAAAGACUUCCUUUAACAGAAACCCUUUAUUAAAAAUUCUUGCCUUGGCAAGUGCAGUCUACCUUCUGGAAAUGCAUUACCCAAGAAACUUGAGAGCCAUCAAGAAUAGAUUUUUCAUUCUUGGUCUUUGACAUGUCUCACUCUUUUUUUCUUCCAAAUGUAUUCAUUCAAAAUAAAUGAGUUUGGGGUAAGCUAUAUAUCCAGGGAUAAAAAGAUGAACUGGACUUAUCCAUAAUUAAUUCAUAUUUCAGUAGACAUGUCAACAAAUGACCAGAAAACUAUACAUAUGUGUUUUGAUGGAUCUAUGAGUAGAGUGCUAAGGAAACACAGAAAAUGGCUGACUGCCUGCAAGAAAGCACUGGAACAGAAGUAGAAUUUGAGCUGCUGGGUUGCUUCUAAGUGAGGUGCGACCCUGGCCAGACUCCACAUCCGCAUGCAGGACUGAUUUGCUUGAUCAUAUGUGGUCCGGCACUGUUGCCUUCCUCCCAAACACCUUCCCUCUGAAAGCUAGAGGCUUUGAGGAGGAGAACAACGUUUUCAAAUAAAGGAAGAUAGUUUUUCAAAUAAUGACGGAUUUAUUGCUUGUGUUUCUAUAUCAGAAUCUAU